ACGCUCGACACCUACGGGAGGCAGCAGUGGGGAAUAUUGCACAAUGGGGGAAACCCUGAUGCAGCGACGCCGCGUGAGUGAAGAAGUAAUUCGUUAUGUAAAGCUCUAUCAGCAGGGAAGAAAGUGACGGUACCUGAGUAAGAAGCCCCGGCUAACUACGUGCUAGCAGCCGCGGUAAUCUGAGGCGGGCUGGCAAGGC
rnacentral:rRNA from 1 species